rnacentral:rRNA from 1 species
CCUACGGGAGGCAGCAGUGGGGAAUAUUGCACAAUGGGGGAAACCCUGAUGCAGCAACGCCGCGUGAAGGAAGACGGUUUUCGGAUUGUAAACUUCUGUUCUUGGUGAAGAAUGAUGACGGUAGCUUAGGAGCAAGACACGGCUAACUACGUGGCAGCAGCCGCGGUAAUACGUAGGUGGCAAGCGUUGUCCGGAAUUACUGGGUGUAAAGGGAGCGCAGGCGGGAAGCCAAGUCAGCUGUGAAAACUACGGGCUUAACUUGUAGACUGCAGUUGAAACUGGUUUGCUUGAGUGAAGUAGAGGUUGGCGGAAUUCCGGGUGUAGCGGUGAAAUGCGUAGAUAUUCGGAGGAACACCGGUGGCGAAGGCGGCCACCUGGGCUUUAACUGACGCUGAGGCUCGAAAGUGUGGGGAGCAAACAGGAUUAGAUACCCUUGUAGUC